rnacentral:pre_miRNA from 1 species
AUUUAUUUCAAUUUUACAACCAUAAAGAUAGUUAGGUUACAAUUAUAAGUUACCCCAGUCAAACUAUUCCAUUGGCAGAAUUUCAGUUAUCCCCUAGAGAUUUUCUUCCAAUGGUAUAGAUUGACUGGGGUAACUUAUAAUUGUAACCUAACUAUCUCUAUGGUUGUAAAAUUGAAAUAAAU